CGAUGGCCCUCCUCUUUGGUUUCCGGCGGAGGCGGUCCCGGAAGCCCCCACCUUCUAGACCCGCCCCUGCCCCGCCCCUGGCUGGACUCCUCGUUUGUGGAGGACUUGACAUUUUCUGAGUGACUCAGAAUACCUCACAGAGAAGCUAUGGAAACAAAGGGCCUCCUGCUCACUGUAGCAGAGCAUCCUGCCUUUGUCCGAUCCAGCUCAGUGCGUCAGUCUCUGCAAACAACAAAAGAUGUGGCCACCCAGCCGCCUGUCCCUGCCCCCACAGAAGCACUAAUGUAGGCAGAGGCCUCUGAUUGGAACUGAGCUAGGAGAGGAGCAGACAGGUACAGACAGCAGCCUGGGAGCAGGCUCCUAAGAGAGGUCAUGCUUAAUAAACUUGAUUAAUUUCUUUGAGCAGCAACAAUGCAAGUGGACAGGGGUGAAAUGAGGGGCAGUAAUUCAUCCUGAUUCCAAAGCGUAGAAGCCUUGCUAAAACCAACAGAGAUUUUACAGGGAUGCUGCUGGGGCCUGGAGGAGUCUGGUGGGGCUCGUUGUGGGGAUAGCUAGAAGUGAACUCAGCUGGGGAGAUACAUGCUCACGCUGAUCUGGUGAAGAGGAAGCCGAGAGCAGAGUCAGAACAAACUACCCAAGCCAUGCAGCCAAGACACAGAUCUCACCAGUGCACCUUCCUGCUUGAAUCCCUUCCAACGGCCUCCCACCACCCGAAUAUGAAAAUAAUAAUUGUUGCAUUUACUCGA